AACUCGAUCUCAAAUCAAGUAAGACUACCCGCUGAACUUAAGCAUAUCAAUAAGCGGAGGAAAAGAAACUAACAAGGAUUCCCCUAGUAACGGCGAGUGAAGCGGGAUGAGCUCAAAUUUAAAAUCUGGCUGGUUUACUAGUCCGAAUUGUAGUUUAUAGAAGCGUUUUCGGUGGCAGCCUGGGUAUAAAUCCUUUGGAAUAGGGUAUCAUAGAGGGUGAGAAUCCCGUCUUUGACUCAGUGCAUGCUACUAUGUGAUACGUUUUCAAAGAGUCGAGUUGUUUGGGAAUGCAGCUCAAAAUGGGUGGUAAAUUUCAUCUAAAGCUAAAUAUUGGCGAGAGACCGAUAGCGAACAAGUACCGUGAGGGAAAGAUGAAAAGAACUUUGAAAAGAGAGUUAAACAGUGCGUGAAAUUGUUGAAAGGGAAACGUUUGACACCAGUUAUGCGGGUGGAAAAUCAGUCUUUUGCAAUGGGGAGUUGUGGGCGUUCAGACCGCAAGGCUGGCGUUUGCUUCAUCUUUGUUGUAAGUGAUGCACUUUUUCAUUUGCAGGUCAACAUCAGUUUGCUUUGCUGGACAAAACCCCAAGGGAAGGUGGCAGCUUAGGCUGUGUUAUAGCCCUGGGGCGAUACAGUGGAGUGGACUGAGGUUUCGCAGUGUGUGCUCUCGGGCAAGGCUGACUGGGUGCUAUGGGAUCGUUCGGCGUACAAUGCAUGCAUUUUGCGUCGUGUCUUUUUCAUACUCGCUCAACUCGGCUCUUCCACACUUAGGAUGUUGACUUAAUGGUUUUAAACGACCCGUCUUGAAACACGGACCAAGGAGUCUAACAUAUAUGCAAGUGUUUGGGUGGCAAACCCAUGCGCGUAAUGAAAGUGAACGUAGGUGCGAUCCGCAAGGUGCAGCAUCGACCGAUCUUGAUAUUUUUGGAUAGAUUUGAGUAAGAGCAUAUAUGCUGGGACCCCGAAAGAUGGUGAACUAUGCCUGAAUAGGGUGAAGCCAGAGGAAACUCUGGUGGAGGCUCGUAGCGAUUCUGACGUGCAAUCGAUCGUCAAAUUUGGGGUAUAGGGG
rnacentral:rRNA from 1 species